UAAAGACAUUCCCCAGGAAGUGAUGUAGUACUACUCACACGAUGGAAAGAACUCCCUCAGAAACCUGCAAACUGCUACUUUAUGAACAGCGAGGCCUCUUUUGAUAUUGCUGUGCGCAACAUCACAGACUCCAAAGAGAGAAGCUGUGAGGAGAAACUGCAUGCUCUCAUAAACAACCAGGGUCACUGGAGCCAACCUUGCUACAGUUGGACAACCGCAGGCUACACCCGGGCCAGUCCAUUGCAGGGCAACGCACACACACCACCGUUGAGGGACAAUGUAGAGUCAUCAAUUAACCUAUGAAGCAUGCUCUGAGCAGAGUGCCAAGAGAAAACCUAUGCAAACAUGUAAGCUCCUCACAGAAAGAUUCCAGCUGGGAUUUGAUGCAAAAAUGCAGACCACUUCACAAUUGUGUAGCCCUGCAACAAGUCCACUUGUGGAAUUUAUCAACUAU